rnacentral:ncRNA from 1 species
CCACACUGGAACUGAGACACGGUCCAGACUCCUACGGGAGGCAGCAGUAGGGAAUAUUGGGCAAUGGAAGGAAUUCUGACCCAGCCAUGCCGCGUGAAGGAAGACGGCCCUAUGGGUUGUAAACUUCUUUUGCCGCAGAGUAAAGUCCGUCACGUGUGGCGGUUUGAGAGUAUGCGGCGAAUAAGUAUCGGCUAACUCCGUGCCAGCAGCCGCGGUAAUACGGAGGAUACAAGCGUUAUCCGGAUUUAUUGGGUUUAAAGGGUGCGCAGGCGGACCGUUAAGUCAGGGGUGAAAAGUUGGGGCUCAACUCCAAUCGUGCCCUUGAUACUGGCGGACUAGAGUGCGAUAGGCGUGGCCGGAAUGUGAUGUGUAGCGGUGAAAUGCUUAGAUAUGUCACAGAACACCGAUCGAGAAGUCAGGUCACGAGUUCGCAACUGACGCUCAUGCACGAAAGCGUGGGGAUCAAACAGGAUUAGAUACCCUGGUAGUCCACGCCGUAAACGAUGAUCACUCGUUGUCGGGGGGCGACCCUCGGUGGCCAAGCGAAAGCGAUAAGUGAUCCACCUGGGGAGUACGAUCGCAAGGUUGAAACUCAAAGGAAUUGACGGGGGCCCGCACAAGCGGAGGAGCAUGUGGUUUAAUUCGAUGAUACGCGAGGAACCUUACCCGGGCUUGAACGUAAGACCGAGAUGCAGGAGACUGCAUCGCCUUCGGGGGUUUUGCGAGGUGCUGCAUGGUUGUCGUCAGCUCGUGCCGUGAGGUGUUAGGUUAAGUCCUGCAACGAGCGCAACCCUUACCUUCAGUUGCCAGCACGUAAUGGUGGGGACUCUGGAGGAACUGCCUACGCAAGUAGAGAGGAAGGUGGGGAUGACGUCAAAUCAGCACGGCCCUUAUGUCCGGGGCUACACACGUGCUACAAUGGCGCACACAGAGGGCAGCGACCCCGCGAGGGGGAGCCAAUCCAUGAAAGUGCGUCUCAGUUCGGAUCGGAGUCUGGAACCCGACUCCGUGAAGUUGGAUUCGCUAGUAAUCGCGCAUCAGCCAUGACGCGGUGAAUACGUUCCCGGGCCUUGUACACACCGCCCGUCAAGCCAUGGAAGAUGGUGGUACCUGAAGUCUGUACCCGCAAGGAGCGGCCUAAGGUAAAACUGUUAACUGGGGCUAAGUCGUAACAAGGUAGCCGUACCGGAAGGUGUGGCUGGAAUACCUCCUUU